rnacentral:lncRNA from 1 species
AAUCGGAUAAGCAUUCGCCGGAAUCAAGUUUCCAAUAUGGAAAACAAUCAUGAACAAGACAUCGAAGACCUUGAACUUUUCCAAAAGCACGUAGCUGAUCGAUUUUCCGAUCUUUUACCAAAUGAUCCUUCAUCAACUACUGAAUCUCCAGCACAAGAUCAAUCACCUCUAUUCUCAAUUUCAUGGUUUACACGUAGGUGAUCGAUUUUCCGAUCUUUUACCAAAUGAUCCUUCAUCUACUACAGAUUCUCCACCAAAAGAUCAAUCACAUCUCUUCUCAAUUUCAUGGUUUCGUAAAUUGCUCGA